GCGAUGGGCGUGCACAACGACUACACUCUC
rnacentral:ribozyme from 1 species